rnacentral:ncRNA from 1 species
GUGAGCCGUGUGAUGGGAAACCUUCCCGCACGGUUCGGAGAGCACUGAAUGAGAAUGAGAGGAAUAUAGUAAAAUAAGCAAAAAAAAAUAAAUAAAUAUUUCUAU